rnacentral:rRNA from 1 species
ACUACGGGAGGCAGCAGUGAGGAAUAUUGGUCAAUGGGCGGAAGCCUGAACCAGCCAAGUAGCGUGCAGGAUGACGGCCCUACGGGUUGUAAACUGCUUUUAUACGGGAAUAACGCGCCUUACGUGUAGGGCUUUGCAUGUACCGUAUGAAUAAGGACCGGCUAAUUCCGUGCCAGCAGCCGCGGUAAUAGGGAAGGUCCGGGCGUUAUCCGGAUUUAUUGGGUUUAAAGGGAGCGUAGGCCGCAUGUCAAGCGUGCUGUGAAAUGUCCGGGCUCAACCCGGGCCUUGCAGCGCGAACUGGCGUGCUUGAGUCCGCGGAAAGCAGGCGGAAUUCGUCGUGUAGCGGUGAAAUGCUUAGAUAUGACGAAGAACCCCGAUUGCGAAGGCAGCUUGCUGCAGCGGAACUGACGCUGAUGCUCGAAAGCGCGGGUAUCGAACAGGAUUAGAUACCCUAGUAGUC